UACGUAGGGCGCAAGCGUUGUCCGGAAUUAUUGGGCGUAAAGAGCUUGUAGGCGGUUUGUCGCGUCUGCUGUGAAAAUCCGGGGCUCAACCCCGGACUUGCAGUGGGUACGGGCAGACUAGAGUGUGGUAGGGGAGACUGGAAUUCCUGGUGUAGCGGUGAAAUGCGCAGAUAUCAGGAGGAACACCGGUGGCGAAGGCGGGUCUCUGGGCCGUAACUGACGCUGAGGAGCGAAAGCGUGGGGAGCGAAAAGG
rnacentral:rRNA from 1 species